rnacentral:rRNA from 1 species
CCUACGGGAGACAGCAGUGGGGAAUAUUGCACAAUGGGGGGAACCCUGAUGCAGCGACGCCGCGUGAGUGAAGAAGUAUUUCGGUAUGUAAAGCUCUAUCAGCAGGGAAGAAAAUGACGGUACCUGACUAAGAAGCCCCGGCUAACUACGUGCCAGCAGCCGCGGUAAUACGUAGGGGGCAAGCGUUAUCCGGAUUUACUGGGUGUAAAGGGAGCGUAGACGGCAGCACAAGUCUGGAGUGAAAUGCCGGGGCUUAACCCCGGAACUGCUUUGGAAACUGUGCAGCUAGAGUGCAGGAGAGGUAAGUGGAAUUCCUAGUGUAGCGGUGAAAUGCGUAGAUAUUAGGAGGAACACCAGUGGCGAAGGCGGCUUACUGGACUGUAACUGAUGUUGAGGCUCGAAAGCGUGGGGAGCAAACAGGAUUAGAUACCCGUGUAGUC